rnacentral:misc_RNA from 1 species
UGGCCCAGCUGAAGCUGGUCGUUCUCAGAGAGAGCUGGGAUCUUCUGGCCUAUGUAGAAAGAAUCUGAAGGGCAGACCAGAUGCUUUGGAUACUCCACCAAAAGCUCUGAGACGUGGAUGGGUCGGUAGUAGAUCUUCACCAGCCCAUCAGAUUUGAUAAGCUUAAUAGUCUCUUCCGGUGGGUCAGGGCGGAUAUGCACAGAGGAGAUGUGGUUGCCCAUGGGGUGAAAACACCACGGGAUCAUUUGCAAAUUCAAAAAUUUGAUGCCCAUUUGCUUAAUGAUAACCCUGGAGAUGAAAAGAUGUGUGUAUAUAUAAUAUAUAAAGAAAGCUAAGUUGGGUUCAUAACUGGAUGAUGAUAAGAAGGGAAAGGUUUUUUU